UUACACUCUCAGGCUAGUUCUAGACAGCCAGAGGUCAUAUUCUCACCUUUAUGUGUCCUGGAGGCAAAGGAUCCACUGUGACAUCUGCAAGGAAAAAAGGAAGAUGGCGCCAUCAGUCAGAGGCUACUUAAGCUCUCCCCAGCCUUCUGUGUUUCUGGUUUACCUUCUCAGACAGACUCUUCAGUUGAAAAGUGUGUUUUCUGUCUAUUUGAGCAUUAGAGCUACUGGCCCAUUCUCAUCAGUGUGCAGACUUUUUGAGUUGUUUUUCCAGCGGGAGGUGGGGGGAGGGGGUUGGGUUAAAUCAUCACAGUUUAUCUUGUCAUCUUUGGUGACGCACAUGUGGGAGAUGGCUGUGGCUGCAAAAAAACAAACAAACAAUGCCCCCCCCCAAGAAAUCCCCCAAUACAAACCAAAACUAAAAAAUAAAAACAAAAUUUGUCCUUUGAUUCCUAAGAAGUUGACUGGAACAGACUGUAAAAAGGCAGAAUGUAGAGUCCAGCCCCUGACUCAGAACGAUCUGACACCAGCAUUCCCGGCCUGCUCCCCACGAGGACGUCUCCGCGGACUUGCUGACUGCUUUGGAGUCUUUCCAUUCUGGAAACCCCAGAGUGGAAAAACCCCAGACUUUAGAGGUAAAACAAACCAGGGUUCCACCAGGAAGCCCGUAUGACCUCGUCCCUGGCACCUAACCACUCUGACUCCCACUGGUGACAAUGGUGGCAUCGGAAGGUUGAGGUAUGAGAUCCGUGUGGAAGCGCCUAGCAUAGCAUUGUGCUGGGCUCAUACUCAGGACUCAGCCAAUCUUACCUGCCCCCCCUUUCUCCUGUGCCAUCUCGUGUAUCUGCAAUCUGCGGAAAGCUGCCCACAGAAUGACCAAAUCUAUGAUCCUAAAUACUAAAAAUGAAAGUCUGGCUGGCCUUUAUAUUUAAAAUGUAGAUUUAGUUUAUUUUGAUUCUUCUGUUUUCAUUUCUCCAGUCUCCAGCGCUUGACCUCCACAUGCCUCAGAGGGUCCCUCAGGGAGAUGCUGCCCCAGAACGCUCCUCUUCUAGCACCCCAGAGGAUUUGCCUGGGAUCCCCCAUGAAGGAGGAAUAUGGGAGCCAGGCUCAUUCACAGAAGUGAAUCCCAAACACCACAGUGGCUCAUUCACACUCCUUAUCCCCUUGAUCUUCCCAGUGGAAGUGGGAUAAGUAUCCCCAUUUUGCAGAUGAGAAACUGAGGCUUAGGGAGUUUAAGUAAUUUGCUUCCGUCCCCCAUAUAGAACAGGUAGAACUGAGAUUUAAACAGGGGACACCCGACCCUACUGCACUUUUUGCAGUAUCCUAUCCGCUGCUCAGUGGGCUGGAAAACUGAGUGACUGAUAAUUGGGCUUUGGUUUAAAACAGCUGACCCCUGUUUUACCAUCAUGCUGGGAAAGUAAUUGUAACACUACCGGCUUGGCUUAAGAUCUGAAACAAUAGCUCAUCACUUAAGUAAAGGAUUUAUCUACUGUCAUGCAAAACCCAGGGCUGGGGGACUUCUUUGUUCGGCACACCGGGGAUACAGGCAUGCAUGAGCCAUGGCUGGUGCCCUCCUGGAGGUGCCAGUUUAGGAGGGGGAGACAGGCGGAGGAAGCCAGCUCAUCUAGGGUAGGAAUUUUGUGGAGAAAUGAACCCAGGGCUUGAGGAUGCCUCCUUUCCUGGAGAAUUCAGAGAAGCCUUCAUAAAAGGAGGGUUUGGACUGGGUCUUGAGUAUAUGAAGAGUGAAGCAGGGAGGGCAGGAAUGAGGUCAUUCCAGGAAUAGAGGAGAUGGUAAGGGGUGGUGUGCUCAGCACGUAGUGGAAAUAAUUCACUCGGCGGACACAUUUCUCCUGAGCAGGGCAACCCCCCCGCCCAACCUCCGUGCCCGAGUGAACAUUGGAAAUGGCUCCUUUAUGCUGGGAGGGACUGCUAAUUAGCUAGGGGGGCCUCUGCCAGCAACAGGUACUCGAGGACCCUUGCCUGCCUCUGCCAGCAACAGGUACUCGAGCACCCUUGCCUACCUUUGCCUCUGAUUCAUUCUGCACUGCCAGGUGCACUGUUUAUCCUCUCUGUGCUCAUUUCCCUACCAGAAGACUGUCUGUAAAGUGGGGUCUGGGCUUUGCGGCUGACCUUUCUGCUAAGUACUUUGGGGACCCAGGAUUUAAUGUCUGCAUUGGGUAAAAAGCAAAAUCUGGCAGCUCUCAAAAAAAAAAAAAAAAAAAAGUUGUAAAGGAACCAUUUUUGGUAUCCCUCAUCAAUUUGGGUUGUUUCCACCAUUUUUCUGUCUUAUGGGUACUCUAAUUCUACAGACCCAGAAUCCCACUGAAGCCACCUGCACUGGACCGUUCGUUAUUAACCACUAGCAUUUCCAGGGUGCCGUCUGUGUAACAUGCAAGGUCACACUCCAAAGUCUGGGCUAGGAAGCAACCACAGACAGCGGGCAGAGCUCGGUGAAGGUAGCAGAGGAGUGAAGCCUGCUGCCUCAGGUCUCCGAGUGACUUGUGCUUCAUUUGGGUCCCAGUGAAAGUGGAGCCCCAUGUCAGGCAAUCAAUACUUGUUGGAUUGUGGUUCGAUUAAAUGCACA